rnacentral:rRNA from 1 species
UACGGAGGGUGCAAGCGUUGCUCGGAAUCAUUGGGCGUAAAGCGCGUGUAGGCGGCUUUGCAAGUCUGGUGUGAAAUCCCGGGGCCUAACCCCGGAAGUGCAUUGGAUACUGCUUAGCUAGAGGUCGAGAGAGGAUAGUGGAAUUCCUGGUGUAGGGGUGAAAUCCGUAGAUAUCAGGAGGAACAUCAGUAGCGAAGGCGGCUAUCUGGCUCGAAUCUGACGCUGAGACGCGAAAGCGUGGGGAGCAAACAGG